UACAGAGGGUGCAAGCGUUAAUCGGAAUGACUGGGCGUAAAGCGUGUGUAGGUGGUUAGAUAAGUUAGAUGUGAAAUCCCCGGGCUUAGCCUGGGAACUGCGUUUAAGACUGUCUAGCUAGAGUACUGUAGAGGAUAGUGGAAUUUCAAGUGUAGCGGUGAAAUGCGUAGAUAUUGGAAGGAACACCAGUGGCGAAGGCGACUAUCUGGAUAGAUACUGACACUGAGACAAGAAAGCGUGGGGAGCAAACAGG
rnacentral:rRNA from 1 species